rnacentral:rRNA from 1 species
GAUGAACGCUGGCGGCGUGCCUAAUACAUGCAAGUCGAGCGAACGGACGAGAAGCUUGCUUUUCUGAUGUUAGCGGCGGACGGGUGAGUAACACGUGGAUAACCUACCUAUAAGACUGGGAUAACUUCGGGAAACCGGAGCUAAUACCGGAUAAUAUUUUGAACCGCAUGGUUCAAAAGUGAAAGACGGUCUUGCUGUCACGUAUAGAUGGAUCCGCGCUGCAUUAGCUAGUUGGUAAGGUAACGGCUUACCAAGGCAACGAUGCAUAGCCGACCUGAGAGGGUGAUCGGCCACACUGGAGCUGAGACACGGACCAGACUCCUACGGGAGGGAGCAGUAGGGAAUCUUCCGCAAUGGGCGAAAGCCUGACGGAGCAACGCCGCGUGAGUGAUGAAGGUCUUCGGAUCGUAAAACUCUGUUAUUAGGGAAGAACAUAUGUGUAAGUAACUGUGCACAUCUUGACGGUACCUAAUCAGAAAGCCACGGCUAACUACGUG